rnacentral:lncRNA from 1 species
UUGUUUUUUAGACUUAGUGUUGUCUAAGGGAAUUUAAUCCAGGUGGAUUAAGGUUUGUUUACAAACAGGUUCAAAGAAGCAUAGGUGCUUAAGGAGUGCAUUGGUGCACAAGGGGAAAGAGUGCUCAAGUGAAUUAUUGUAAUUCAAUUUUUAUAGAAUCUGUGUUGUAACAAGAGUCUUUUAAAGAAAUAAAAGUGAG